rnacentral:rRNA from 1 species
ACACAUGCAGUCGAGCGGAACGAUCCUAGCUUGCUAGGAGGCGUCGAGCGGCGGACGGGUGAGUAACGCGUGAGAAUCUACCCAUGAGUGGGGGACAACCCGGGGAAACUCGGGCUAAUACCGCAUACGCCCUACGGGGUAAAGCAGGGGACCUUCGGGCCUUGCGCUGAUGGAUGAGCUCGCGUCGGAUUAGCUUGUUGGUGAGGUAAAGGCUCACCAAGGCGACGAUCCGUAGCUGGUCUGAGAGGAUGAUCAGCCACACCGGGACUGAGACACGGCCCGGACUCCUACGGGAGGCAGCAGUGGGGAAUCUUGGACAAUGGGGGCAACCCUGAUCCAGCCAUGCCGCGUGUGUGAAGAAGGCCUUCGGGUUGUAAAGCACUUUCAGCAGGGAGGAAGGCUUACCCCUAAUACGGGUGAGUACUUGACGUUACCUGCAGAAGAAGCACCGGCUAAUUUCGUGCCAGCAGCCGCGGUAAUACGAAAGGUGCAAGCGUUAAUCGGAAUUACUGGGCGUAAAGCGCGCGUAGGCGGUGUGUUAAGUCGGAUGUGAAAGCCCAGGGCUCAACCUUGGAAUUGCAUCCGAUACUGGCACGCUAGAGUGCAGUAGAGGGAGGUGGAAUUUCCGGUGUAGCGGUGAAAUGCGUAGAGAUCGGAAGGAACACCAGUGGCGAAGGCGGCCUCCUGGACUGACACUGACGCUGAGGUGCGAAAGCGUGGGGAGCAAACAGGAUUAGAUACCCCUGGUAGUCCACGCUGUAAACGAUGUCUACUAGCCGUCGGGGUCCUUAGUGACUUUGGUGGCGCAGCUAACGCGAUAAGUAGACCGCCUGGGGAGUACGGCCGCAAGGUUAAAACUCAAUGAAUUGACGGGGCCCGCACAGCGGUGGAGCAUGUGGUUUAAUUCGAUG